rnacentral:lncRNA from 1 species
CUUGGUUCCAGCCAUGCCAUCCCUCAGUCCCGCUGGCGGCUGCUCUGGUAGGGUUGGGGCCAGAGUGGAGGCUCCUGGUGGAGGGGGGAGGGCAGCAGUCAGAGGGAGAAGGCACCACGGUGGCCCCAGUAAGCACAGAGCCACCCAGGGGCACUUGGGUGAAGGGCACAGGGGUCUGUUCCCCCCACCAGCACAGUUUGGCAGGGAGGUCUUCCCCACGCAGUGGAAGGACUCCAAGUCCUGCCAAGGUUGGGUGGCUGGCAAGGGAACGGAUGGCAGUGCCGUGGCCCUGCCCUGGGCCAGCCAGUACCAGGGGGAGUCCCACUGCAGCAGGAGGGGGAUGCAGGUACCAGGGUGCCAUCACGCUGUGAGGUUGUGAGCAGACUUGGAGGCAAUCUGUGCCCUCUGGAUCACCGCCUGGCACUUCUCCCGCCGCAGCAGCUUGUUGUUCUCGAAGAAGCCCUCGUUGCGGGGAACCCCAUGAGAGCCAUCAGGGAAUGUCAGGAGACCAAAGCCAUACACACGUCCGCCUUUGAACUCGCCCUCGAAGGUCAUGUUGUCAUAGCGGGUGAAGACGCCGACACCGCUAAAUUUGCCCUGCACAAACUCCCCCUCAUACCUGGAGCCGUCGGCAAAGCUGAGCACGCCGCAGCCAUGGAAGAGCCCAUUCUCAAAGUGCCCCACGUAGGCGGUGCCAUCGGCAAACGUCAGCUGGCCGAUACCGUGCCUGCGUCCUUCCUUCCACUCGCCGCGGUACUCCUCCCCGCUGGAGUAGGUGAAGGAGCCUUUGGUCAGGGUCAUGGCAGCAGCCUCGGGAGCGCUGGGCAAAGAGCUGGCUCCGCGCUCGUCGCCCGCACCGCUCGUCCGCUCCCCCACCGGGGUCCCGCCGAGGGGCGGCGGCGGCGCGGCC